GCCACCGUGCGCGGUGGUUCCGACGGUGGCUCCGAUGGGCUAUGGAGAUGAUUCAACUUCCAGAGGCUUCCUCAUAAACUUUUGAAAUUUUUGAGAUACAGAUAAACUUCGGGUGAUCGAUGUCAGCUAUUUUUCUGCAUCCAGCAGCCACAAUAGUCAUCGGUGUACUGCCACAGGAGGAGUUAUUUUACAGAGCAACCUGUUUUCUUCCUCGCAGGUUUAACGUCGAUUAUUUAAUUGUUUUACUAUCUUUUCUAAAUUUAAAAUCUAGAACUCUGCAUGUGUUAGUAAUAGUGUGGACCUUGUUAGAAAUUGUGUUAAUUUAAAUUUUUGAGAUUUAUAAAUGAAGAUUUGUAUGGUAUUUAAACAAUUUGUAAAUGAGGUAACAGGGUUGAGCUGGGCUCCCCUGAUUUUAGUUUUCUGAAAA